CAGACUCCACACACACACAUGUGAUAAACACAGUUUCACACAGGCUGUUAUUAUAGUUUUCUAAUUUUUAGAACUGUAUCUAAUCAGUGACACUGAGUCAAAGUGUUUCUUCUGACUGUAACACUCAAGAGUCACCUCAUGAUCAAGCACACAGGAAUCACCCAUCACAAGGUUUAAUGUGUGAAUGUGUGUCCAUCAGACCGAGGACAGGUCUGAGUUCACUGGACCAAACCCUUACUUCCUGUCUGGUCUGGCCUCUCACAGAGUACACACAGGAACACAAUGACUUUCAGUGUGAUAUAUCACACACAUAUGAGCGCCAUAUGAAGGAGUCUGUAACUCAGGGGUUUGGACUGACACUAAGUCACCCAGGAUGUCACCAAAUAAAACCAGAUCUCCUUCUUGUUCUCUCUCUUCUCUCCUUGACUUGUUCAGGAGCAGCAGCUCAUCUCCCCUCCCAGCUCUUCAAGGAGCAACAAGGCUCCCAGCCCAGGUCAGCCCUGCUACCUGAGACAACAGCUCUCUUGCCGGCCUGCUCUGAGCAGACUGCAACACUCUUUUCCUCAACAGCAGCGACCUGUUUAGGAUUAAGUGUGAAGUUUUCUUCAUAAUCAGCGGCUACAGCCAGGUGAUCUCCAAGCAACAGGAGCUGCAGUUUCUCCGUUUACCGCCAUCUUGUGUAGUCUUCUUUCUUCAGGCCACGUGUUAUCACAGUGACCAUUUUGAAUCGGCAUUCUUGUCUUUGACUGUGUUCCCACAGAAACACCUCCAUACACACACACACACACACACACACACACACACACACGUAUAUACUUUAGAUUAGACAUUGUGUUUUACUCUGUCCCAUUGUAAAUAAAUGUCUUUAAGUAUAACUACUGGUGUGUUUAAUGUUGCACAAGGAUGAUUAUUGCCAACCUCUAGUGCCAACAACAACUGCCAACUUCAAUCCUUCAACUUUAACUUACUGUUGAUAUGGUAAUUUGGUUAAACUUAUUAAAGGGGACAUAUUAUGCAAAAUGCACUUUUCCAUGGUUUUCUAUCAGUAGUAUGUGUCCCCGGCCUGUCUACAAACCCCCAAACAUGAGAAAAGUCCAUCCUCUCCGUCUUUUGCUUUCUCCACCUUUCAGGAAAUGUGUGCUCAGACAGGCGAAUUGGAGAUUUUCCCUUGAUGUCGUCAAGAAGGGCGGGUGACACUCCCCCGAGCUAGGUGUGUAUUCCGUCCACUGAGUCUGCCUUGCAGAUGCUAUCGUUACUUCCCUCGCGAACACUAGCUUUCGGUAGAACAAUGUCGAAGGUACGAGCGAAACACAGUUGCUUUGUUGUUGGCUGAACAAACCAACACAGAAGUCUUUUUUUUAACCCCUACGCCCGAGGAUCUGAAGACCCAGUGGAUUAAUUUUAUUUUUGAUGGAAAUAUACCCGCUUCAACUCCGAAAGUGUUGUACGUGUGUGCUAACCAUUUCACCUCGGACUGCUUUCUCAACGAGGGCCAGUACAAUGCAGGAUUUGUUACAAGUCUCAAGAUAAAGCUUGGAUCAGCACUGACUGUCCGUGACCCAACUUUGAACUUCGGAGCUCACAUAAAGUGCAUCUAUACAGCUUCCUGCAACAAGGGAUGUUGCAUGCCAGACUGACCCACUGUAGGCACACAGUUAUUCUUGAAGACUCUUCAGCCUCACAUCAGAAGUACAGACUCUACCUGGCUUGCCACGUACUACAAUGAAAAUGCUGACCGACCACAAGCGCAAACAAAAGAAGGUGAACCAAUGUUCAAGGUCCAAUUUCCAAAGGCCAUGAAGGGAGAAUGCAGAGCUAAACCAGCUAAGACUGAGCCGACAUUCUAUAAGUGUUAUAUUAUUUUAUUUUUCAACCAAAAUAUGUUUUGUACACAUUGUAUUAAGUAUUGCACAUAUAAUGUUAUGACAGUUCCAUCAACAACAAAAUACAGUAAAGAAAAUGUCAGGAGGUAGUUAGAAACAGACUUUCAGUCAUUGUUUUGUAAAAAAACAACAAAAAAAGAGAAAUGUAAACAAAAUCUUUUGUGUUUAUCAAACAGGGUAUGUGGUGGACCUCAUAUUUGAAAAAGUCUUUGUUGACCUGGGACCAUACACAGAAGCUGCUUUGGCCAUCCCCAUCCCAGAGGACCUCACUGCACAGUUAGAGCGGCCUGAGAAGGAGGAGGUCAUAUCCAGCUCUGUGUCCCGGUUCUAUCAUGGGCCAGUCUAAAACCCACGUACCGGCCUGUGGCGUCAGGAAACACGGCAUGGAUGAGUAGGACCACGCAGGUUGGAAUGACGACCCAGAUUCUGCGACCAAGGAAGCCCCAGCACCAGCUCACAAAGCUCCUAUAGGCUAGAUACCUGUACUGACUAAAACAACUGGACAGGGCAUUUAGUCUUGCAAACAUAUCUAUGUUGUGUCUAGCAAUUUCUUUUUAAGGAUCCAGUGAAUCCUACUGUUUUUUUUAUUAUCACUGAUUAUAAGUCCCUCAUUUGAUGCAAAUAAAUGCUUGAUUGUUACUAAAGAAAUGACUCCUCUGAAUUGAUAUAUUAUAUGCACACUAUCUGCUGAUAGAAGAACUUUACAAAUCAAAGAGCAGCUAAACUAAUUUAUUUGAGGGUGUGUUACUCCAUUUGUGGUGUGUUAUUACCAUUGUAAAAUUAUGUGCACGGAAGUAAAACAAGACUGCCUAACAUCUUUUAUUUAGAUUGAAACUAUGUUUUUACAAAGCAAAACGUACUGGUGUAUUCCUCUCAACCAUAAAGGACCAUAGUCAGCGCGGUACAUGUUGCAAGCAUUCUGGAGGGAGUACACAUUGAGGCAGAGCGGCUCCAACCCAGGAUGGUCUACCAUACAUGGUAAAUCUUCCUCGAUCUCCCAUAGCCGUAUGGUAACCUACAGUGAAUUGCAAAUGGUAAAUGCUAUGGUUUAUUAUAAAUGUAAGGUAAUCAAAACAAAUUACUGAUUAGUUUGUCCAGUGAGAAUGCUACCUGUGGUAUCUCCUAGCAGCAGAUAUUCUCAGCUUCUGUUGCACAGUUUCCACAGGAGCACCAGUGGCGAUUGCUCUAAGACUACAAGGGAAGCUCAGCUUCCCCUAAAAUGUCAACAAAAUAAGUGGUCAAAUAUGUGCUGUUGUGUGAACAUUUCAUUGACUAAAUAUGCGCUAGAACACGUUCAUCUUUUGUUCAGAAUCAGCUACUUAUCACAGGUAACCGACACGACUUCUUCUCAUUCUUCCCCGCAGCGCCACAGAGCUUUACACAGUGUAGACGCCGAGCGUCUCCUGACUUCAAUGGGGAAGCAGAGAGUGGGUUGUUCCACUGCAGCCAAACUAGACGGUCAUUGGAUAAAUGCUGGGCUUUGUCCCGCCCAUCGGACGCUCAGCGUCUCUGGGGGUCUAUGGAGCAGUGGGCUGGCCCGGACGCUCGGCUUCUGCAUGAUGAUUGGAUGAUCUGUCUGAGGCUGAGUCCCUUUUUGAUUGACAGCGAAAUGAGCGAAUCAGCGAUCUUGAAGUAUAAGCAUCCACCGGAGCAGUUUUCAAGUUUUUCAUUCCGUUGUUCGGAGUUGAUCUGGAGACGUUACUGAUCCUCUGCGACUUUGUCUUUGUUAAAAACGACUAGCGUUGUGUUUGGCAACUCUCUUCUGUCACUCUGCGAAUUUACAUUUAAAUAAACGGACACAUUUUAUGAUGUAGGCCGAAAAAUGAGCUUCCCCUCCUUAUAAGACCAGCAGCCGCCACUGAGGAGCACCUAUCCAAAAUAUUGAGAAAAAUGGUAAUAUUCACCAAAAUAUAAAGCUUAUGAAAUUAAAACACUGACAGACAGUGGAGCUAAGGUGGGUAAGAAGUAAGCUUGGCUACAUAUCAAGCGCAUAUAACAUAGGUAAUUUAUAACAUGUCACUUAUUGCAUAUAAUGUGGAGCUUGACAACAGUGUAGUGUAGAAAACUGCAAAGUUUAGUCUUUGACUAAAGAUUACUGUUGCUGUCAGACAUGUUUAUGCUGAUUUACAGCUUUCAUUGUAAUACACAAAAUACAUUUACUACAUAAAGGAAGAUGUCAUGAUGAGCAUCUCUGCUCAAAACAUGGAGAAAAAUGAUUUACUUUUGGCAGGAUCUAUUAAAAUAUCUGACUAGUACUGACAUUGAACACCUGUAGCAGUCCACAUACAACAAACAUUUUCAUAGACUGUAAAAGUAUAUCUAAGGAGGCAUGACAGAUAACUACAUUACACAAUUCACAAUAGUGCUUAUUUACCAAAAGAGCUCCCAGUAAUGACGAGACAGUAACAGUUAGCAUUAGCUACGUAGCUACAUGUCAGUAACUGUGUGCCAGCACACAUCAACAAACUGAAAAUGUAAUGUCAAAAUACACAAAAUUGCUUACCAACCAUU